rnacentral:rRNA from 1 species
GUUUUGGAGAGUUUGAUCCUGGCUCAGGAUGAACGCUGGCGGCGUGCUUAACACAUGCAAGUCGAACGAUGAAGCUACAGCUUGCUGUGGUGGAUUAGUGGCGAACGGGUGAGUAUCACGUGAGUAACCUGCCCUUGACUCUGGGAUAAGCCUGGGAAACUGGGUCUAAUACUGGAUAUGACUUCUGACCGCAUGGUUGGUUGUGGAAAGUUUUUGCGGUUUUGGAUGGACUCGCGGCCUAUCAGCUUGUUGGUGGGGUAAUGGCCUACCAAGGCUUCGACGGGUAGCCGGCCUGAGAGGGUGACCGGCCACACUGGGACUGAGACACGGCCCAGACUCCUACGGGAGGCAGCAGUGGGGGAUAUUGCACAAUGGGCGCAAGCCUGAUGCAGCGACGUCGCGUGAGGGAUGACGGCCUUCGGGUUGUAAACCUCUUUCAGCAGGGAAGAAGCUUUGGUGACGGUACCUGCAGAAGAAGCACCGGCUAACUACGUGCCAGCAGCCGCGGUAAUACGUAGGGUGCGAGCGUUAUCCGGAAUUAUUGGGCGUAAAGAGCUCGUAGGCGGUUUGUCGCGUCUGCUGUGAAAGCUCAGGGCUUAACUCUGAGUUUGCAGUGGGUACGGGCAGACUGGAGUGCAGUAGGGGAGAUUGGAAUUCCUGGUGUAGCGGUGGAAUGCGCAGAUAUCAGGAGGAACACCGAUGGCGAAGGCAGGUCUCUGGGCUGUUACUGACGCUGAGGAGCGAAAGCAUGGGGAGCGAACAGGAUUAGAUACCCUGGUAGUCCAUGCCGUAAACGUUGGGCACUAGGUGUGGGGGAUAUUUCCACGUUUUCCGCGCCGUAGCUAACGCAUUAAGUGCCCCGCCUGGGGAGUACGGCCGCAAGGCUAAAACUCAAAGGAAUUGACGGGGGCCCGCACAAGCGGCGGAGCAUGCGGAUUAAUUCGAUGCAACGCGAAGAACCUUACCAAGGCUUGACAUACACCGGAUCGUUCCAGAGAUGGUUCUUCCCUUUUUGGGCUGGUGUACAGGUGGUGCAUGGUUGUCGUCAGCUCGUGUCGUGAGAUGUUGGGUUAAGUCCCGCAACGAGCGCAACCCUCGUUCUAUGUUGCCAGCAUUUGGUUGGGGACUCAUAGGAGACUGC